CCUACGGGUGGCUGCAGUGGGGAAUAUUGGACAAUGGGCGAAAGCCUGAUCCAGCCAUGCCGCGUGUGUGAAGAAGGCCUUCGGGUUGUAAAGCACUUUCAGUGGGGAAGAAAGCCUUGGGGCUAAUACCCUCGAGGAAGGACAUCACCCACAGAAGAAGCACCGGCUAACUCCGUGCCAGCAGCCGCGGUAAUACGGAGGGUGCGAGCGUUAAUCGGAAUUACUGGGCGUAAAGCGCGCGUAGGCGGUCUGAUAAGCCGGUUGUGAAAGCCCCGGGCUCAACCUGGGAACGGCAUCCGGAACUGUCAGGCUAGAGUGCAGGAGAGGAAGGUAGAAUUCCCGGUGUAGGGGUGAAAUGCGUAGAGAUCGGGAGGAAUACCAGUGGCGAAGGCGGCCUUCUGGACUGACACUGACGCUGAGGUGCGAAAGCGUGGGUAGCAAACAGGAUUAGAUACCCGGGUAGUC
rnacentral:rRNA from 1 species